AUCUAGCUGAUCAGUCCUAAAUAGGAUGAGACGCGUGUCGUGGAU
rfam:Schistosoma rodhaini strain Burundi genome assembly, scaffold: SROB_scaffold0000911